ensembl:lncRNA
CUGGACAGUCCAUGUCCUUACAACAGGCUGGACAGUCCAUGUCCUUUUAACAGGCUGGACAGUCCAUGUCCUUACAACAGGCUGGACAGUCCAUGUCCUUACAACAGGCUGGACAGUCCAUGUCCUUUUAACAGGCUGGACAGUCCAUGUCCUUACAACAGGCUGGACCAUCCAUGUCCUUACAACAGGCUGGACAGUCCAUGUCCUUACAACAGGCUGGACCAUCCAUGUCCUUACAACAGGCUGGACCAUCCAUGUCCUUACAACAGCAUGUAGAAGUCUGAUGUCCCUUUAUACCACAGGCUGGACAGUCCAUGUCCUUACAACAGGCUGGACAGUCCAUGUCCUUACAACAGGCUGGACAGUCCAUGUCCUUACAACAGGCUGGACAGUCCAUGUCCUUACAACAGGCUGGACAGUCCAUGUCCUUACAACAGGAUGGACAGUCCAUGUCCUUACAACAGGCUGGACAGUCCAUGUCCUUACAACAGGCUGGACAGUCCAUGUCCUUACAACAGGCUGGACAGUCCAUGUCCUUACAACAGGCUGGACAGUCCAUGUCCUUACAACAGGCUGGACAGUCCAUGUCCUUACAACAGGCUGGACAGUCCAUGUCCUUACAACAGGAUGGACAGUCCAUGUCCUUACAACAGCAGGUAGAAGUCUGAUGUCCCUUUAUACCACAGGCUGGACAGUCCAUGUCCUUACAACAGGCUGGACAGUCCAUCUCCUUACAACAGGCUGGACAGUCCAUGUCCUUACAACAGGCUGGACAGUCCAUGUCCUUACAACAGCAGGUAGAAGUCUAAUGUCCCUUUUUGGGAACCCACUAAGUUACUUAUGAACUCAAUCUGAACCUUUAAGUAUUAACUAGUGGUUCUGGUGAAACAUGUCCUUUAAGUAUUAACUAGUGGUUCUGGUGAAACAUGUCCUUUAAGUAUUAACUAGUGGUUCUGGUGAAACAUGUCCUUUAAGUAUUAACUAGUGGUUCUGGUGAAACAGGUCCUUUAAGUAUUAACUAGUGGUUCUGGUGAAACAGGUCAUUUCAGUAUUAACUAGUGGUUCUGGUGAAACAGGUCCUUUAAGUAUCUUCACAACAUCCCCAUACAUCUUAUUACCUGUUCUGUCUGGAUGUAACAGGCUGCCUAGUAAAUUAAAUGUCUUUGGCCCCAUUACACAUGAAAAAACUAUAAGUACAAUGUUGUCCUCAUCAAUGUAACUUACAAUAACAAAAUAUUCAAACCGUUCUGUAUAUGAGGUCCUCUGGUCAAUACUUUCAUCAAACUGUUCAAUGUUUCCAACAAUUCACACCAUGUUUUUCAUUUCUCAAUAGGCUCAUGAUUGUCCUCAACCACAGCAAUAUUUUCCUCAGUC